rnacentral:rRNA from 1 species
UAGGGAAUCUUCGGCAAUGGACGAAAGUCUGACCGAGCAACGCCGCGUGAGUGAAGAAGGUUUUCGGAUCGUAAAACUCUGUUGUUAGAGAAGAACAAGGACGUUAGUAACUGAACGUCCCCUGACGGUAUCUAACCAGAAAGCCACGGCUAACUACGUGCCAGCAGCCGCGGUAAUACGUAGGUGGCAAGCGUUGUCCGGAUUUAUUGGCGUAAAGCGAGCGCAGGCGGUUUCUUAAGUCUGAUGUGAAAGCCCCCGGCUCAACCGGGGAGGGUCAUUGGAAACUGGGGGACUUGAGUGCAGAAGAGGAGAGUGGAAUUCCAUGUGUAGCGGUGAAAUGCGUAGAUAUAUGGAGGAACACCAGUGGCGAAGGCGGCUCUCUGGUCUGUAACUGACGCUGAGGCUCGAAAGCGUGGGGAGCAAACAGG